rnacentral:rRNA from 1 species
CCUACGGGAGGCAGCAGUAGGGAAUCUUCCACAAUGGGCGAAAGCCUGAUGGAGCAACGCCGCGUGGGUGAAGAAGGUCUUCGGAUCGUAAAACCCUGUUGUAAGAGAAGAACGUGCGUGAGAGUAACUGUUCACGUUUCGACGGUAUCUAGCCAGAAAGCCACGGCUAACUACGUGCCAGCAGCCGCGGUAAUACGUAGGUGGCAAGCGUUAUCCGGAUUUAUUGGGCGUAAAGCGAACGCAGGCGGUCUUUUAAGUCUGAUGUGAAAGCCCUCGGCUUAACCGGAGUAGUGCAUUGGAAACUGGGAGACUUGAGUGCAGAAGAGGAGAGUGGAACUCCAUGUGUAGCGGUGAAAUGCGUAGAUAUAUGGAAGAACACCAGUGGCGAAAGCGGCUUUCUGGUCUGUAACUGACGCUGAGGUUCGAAAGCGUGGGUAGCAAACAGGAUUAGAUACCCGGGUAGUC